UGAUCAAUGUGGCAUUGGUAUGGUGAAAGUUCAUUUCUGACGAGGCACAAUAAUAACCAAUAAACAUCAGCCAUUCCGAAAUUUGAUCUAAUUGUAUUUCGGCGGUCUUUUGGUUUUGGCUUUUCAAGGCGAAUAUCGACCAUUGAGGGCCUGUGCUGUUGUUCCACGGCGAUCAUUCAUCAAGAGACUAUUGAAUAAUUUCUGCGAGGUAAAUGUAGUGUUGUAAAUUGUUUCAUGUUUUUGUGUCGCACUUUAUGGAAAUGUCAAAUUUGUAUUCUGUAUUAGCAGAAACUGAAUUGUCUACAAACGAAUUGUCUACUGACGCGUGUUGUUCAGGAUGGAAUGAUUCGAAUUUCGAAAUGUUGAAAUGCACUACAACUGAAUAACAGAUUAACAGUAUAAUGUAACGCUGUGCAUCUAAAAAUAUGUUCACAAAAUGUACGAAAUGCAGUCCUAAGGGUGGAAAAAACACAAAAAUUUUCUGGGGGGAAAUCCCUCAGACUGCCUUACUAUUACGUAUUUACGUACAAUAGUGUGGUCUCUCUUUGUAGAUUGCUCUCUGCCCACGGGCAAAUUCUUAAAAAGGCUCUGGCAAGCAACGAAUGUUGGUGAGCGUUUCGUAUGGUGGUGCAUGUGAAUGUGAUCGUUCUUAAAAAAUUUAAAUUUCGUAAGCAAAUAAACUAUCAUAGAACAUGAACAGCUGUAAUAAACAAUUAUGCGGUACAGCACACUUAUAUUGCCAUAUCGACAAUAUAGAUAACUUAGGUGUACUAUUAAGAGGCUUGGCUAGGGACCAGGCUGGCUGUGCAAGAAUAUUGAGGAUACACAUGAUACAUAGCUGAUGUCAAAUAUGGUGCAGUGUGUAUACAACUGAAGUACACUACCACAAUCAGGGGCCAUGUUGACAUUACUUGUUGCAGGAAAAAUGUUUAAAACCUAGAAUUUACUUCAUAACCCAGACUGGAAUGUUUGCAAAUUGCGCAACCGAGAUCAAGAUUUUCCGGAUUUUUGCGCGUCUAGUCUUCGAAUCUGCGCGUCUGGUAUCUGAAUUAGCGCGUGCAGUUUUAAUUAAAUAUAAUUCAUAGUUUUUAGCAGGGCGCUUAUAACCGCCCUUAUAUAUAAACGCCCUGGUUUUUAGUUAUCACCAAACGUGACAAAGUAAAAUUAUGAUCAGAGUCAAAGUUCAGGUUGCAUUAAAUACUUUGACCAAGGUCCUUAUUAUAGC